UUCUUCCAAUCUUGAGCCUGCAGUUCUUAUAUCGAAUCUUGAACCCCUAUCCUUUCGACAAUCCUAAUUUCACGUGCUUCCAAUGAACCAACUAAAUUUUCCAGUUUCAUGGUUUAAAUAUUGUUAUAUUCUUGAAUAUCUACGAUAAUGUGAUCAAAGUAAGAGGUCAAUGUACGCAUUACCUUUUCAACUAUCAUCUUAUCGGUUAGGGUUACCAUAAUCCUUCAUGAGAUAGACGAGAUUCUGCACCUUCGGCACAUAACCUGUAAUCUUU
rnacentral:lncRNA from 1 species